UAGGAGGAGACCCGCUUCGAACACACAGGCUGUUGUAAAUGGCGAAUUUCUGAAUGGGAUCUACUCAGUGUUAUAUACAAAUACAGUAUAUUGUUUGGGCUAACUUCUAAGACGUUUCUGUUCUACAGAGUAAGUUGAUACCUGCCGUAGACGAUGCAUCUUACAUGAAUAAUAUCAAGUUUACAUUCACGUGCCAAGUUUCAAGAAUUGUUUGCAGUUAAGUGAAGUGUCAGUGAAGGUGGUUCUUAGAUAAUGAACGGAAGGCGGUAAAAUAGGGCAUACGUGCUGCUCCAUAUUGAAACUAGCGCGGUGUAAGGUAGAUGAUAACAGUAUUAACCAGUUGGGCUUCGUAUCGGAGACACAAUGUGUUUCCUGUGAGGUAUGGACUGCAUUUAUAUAUUUAGUUUGGAAGAAAUUCGGUCUUUAAAGAGUUAAGCGGCCGUGUUAACUGACGUUAGUCAUCCCACUUGUUGGGUAUCGUACAUAUUAGGAAAGCUGUGUAAUAACCGUGUUACUCUCUUGUAACUGUGCUUCAGAUCUUCAGUUAACAAUCUAGCAUGUUGCACACCUGAAUUAAAAGGAACACGAACUGACUACGGUAGGAGAGAAUUUUAAUUUGUAUUAUCCUUGUGAAAUUGUUAAGCUGUAUCAUAUUUACACACCGAAAACCUUGCAACGUUUAGUACUGUCACGUAAUAUUCACGGGUUUUGUUCCGUAAUGAACAAUUAAAAAAGUUCACUGAAUUACUUGAACUCUCAUUUAUAAAUGGAAUUUUGUUACAUUUCAAGGACACUGAUAAAUACACAAGAAUUAAGUAUUACCGUAUGCUAAAAUUUAAGUGCAAUACAACCUGUAAAUAAGAAAUAUUUAUUGGAAGUUUUAACAGUGAAGAGAAUUGUUACUGCAUUGAAAAAGUAAAAAUAUAAGUAUGAUCUAUGUGAAAUAACUUUCGAAAAGACUAGGAUUCCAUGCUUUUACAGACUAAAAUUAAGAAAAUAGUUAAGAGGCAAGCAGUGUUAUUGUGAGUGCACAAUUUAAGAGCAGUGGCUCGAGCUGCAGUGUAAACGUGUGUGGUAACAAAGGGGCGCGUGUGCCGGUAUGAACUGCACAGUGGCUGUCGGACGGGAGCAAUGGCUGAGAAUAUUACGUAGAAAUGGAAACAGCGCUGCGUCCAGGGAUCCUCAAAAGUGCCGAAAUACAAUGCACAGCCAUGCCGGGAUAUGGCACAAAGUGUGUAGCAGCCAGGCCGCCAGAGCGCCCCAGCAGUCUCGGUGAAGUGAGACGGCGAGUGGAGAGGAAUCCCGGUAGAGUCACGUAGCUUCCUCCACCCACGCCGCUUCGUCACAGACCGUAGAGAUCCCUGCAACAGAUUUUGUUGGUAAUGACAUAUUGUACGUGCGACUGAAUACAGAGGAAAUCAGAGUAAAGCUACGUCGAUACGGCUGACAGCAGGACCGUCUGAAUACAUACCUUCUUCUAGGUAGCAGUCCGAAAAUUAGAAAAAAUAUGCAGGUGGUUUCCUGAUCUUUUCCUAACAAGUGUACUGUCUCUUUAUUGUUAAAAAUGCAACAAAUUUGUACAUACGAGAGAGAGUCAA